GUUUCCUGGCUUCAUCCCCACCCGGACAGACAUUCACUGCAUGAAAAGUGGGAUUUUCGGCAGUAUGCGGCACUGUAAAUUGUCGUGGAAUUUCAGGUUUGUGGAAAUUUGCGGGCAACGCCAAAAACUGCCGUAAAUUGUCAGAAAUUGAUGUGGGCCUCCCCAUGACCCCCCUCCUCCUAAUUCUAGGGGAGGCUUUGACAUGUAAAUGGAAAUGCUGUGAGCUAUACAAAUGCAAAUCAGGGUUGCAGAGGGAGUUUUAGUCCAGGUGACAUUUUUUUAAAAGGUAAGAAAAUCUCUGGUACAAAUAAAUCAGGCUCAGUAUCCUAAUUAUAGACUCUUACAUUUUAGCUUGAAUUGAUUUAUUUAAUUAAAAUGUGCUAGAUUACUGUGUACGCCAUUAGCAAUGGCAAAUGUUAUGUAAAAAAGAUACACAAAAUAACUUCUUUAAAAAAUUUGUUUUAAUCAAGGUAAAAUGAGCAUUCCAUGCAAACAACAUUUGAAUCAGCAUGAGGGGUCUGCAGAGAUCACAGUCUCCUAGAGCUCAACUACAGUGCAUAGUGGCAGGACUACAGUGACCUUUUCUUUGGUCUUACUUAAAUGCACAGAGGAUGUAUUAACCACACAUCUUCUAGCAAUGCGCUCAACUGGCAGAAAUGAUGCUGUAUGACGUGUCUGUUCCCUGCGAGCCCCAAACUUCUAUUGGCUUUCCAUAAAAAUGUCUGUCCGGGUGGAGAUGAAGCCAGGAAACUUGUGCAAGAACAUGUUUAAAUGCCGUACCCUUUGACACAACAUUAACAACUAUAAACUGCUUUAUAAUGGCUGGUCGUAGUUCUGCUAGAGGGUCAAGGACGGGUUCCUCAAAACUGUUAGUGUUUCCACACCACUUAGCAUGAACAUAUGCUGACCUUUCUGCUCUGCAUCUAUCGAUUGAGUAAGUUACAUUCAUAUAUGUUACCCGUUUACAUGUCAUGGCAAAACAUUCAACCUCAGUGACACAAGAGUACAUCUGAUGAUACAUUGUCAACAUUGCAUGUCUGUCAGACUCAAGAGUGUCUGGUGGAAUGGAGAAAGAGGCACCACUGUACAGUUUUCUAAGGAAAGUCGUUCUGCUGACACCAAAACACUGCUUUAAAUAAAGCAUAUCAGCUGUUUCAUUGCACGACAAAGUCCCAACCAUUUGUCUUCCUAAAAUACUGGUCCUUCCGUAUAACAAUAACCUUGUAUGUGAUUGGAGGACCCUUAGACUCCUCGUCCAAUCACGUGUGAGGUCAUAGGCAUGACUGAUACAGCAGUACAUGCAAGACGAGCAUACAAACAGACACGUGUGUGUUACUAUAUACAGAAGAACUGUAUCUCCAGUUCCUUUGUUUGGUUUUUGCUGGUUCGUGGAUAAUGGCUGGACGACGUCUCGCAUUCAACUCGCCUUCAACUCCUCUCCGCGGUCACCAACUUUCGGCCAGUCCGCAGACAGACGAGAAGAAGCUGCUGAAUGCUCUCAGUGGAUCGUCUCGUCAACUCCAACAACAAACUGCCGAUAUCAACGAGCGGUUCGCUCCACUGGAGCGUUCGGGACUCUGCGGGUUUCUGUCCAUGGAGGAGAGGAACCGACUCAAAGAAGAGGAGACGGGCGCACAAUCCCAAGAAAGCGGAAGCGGUGCACCGUCUUCACAACUCCGAGAGGAAUUACAGACGCUACGAACCGGAGCAAGGCUCCCUGUGAGACGUAUUUUGAGACGGGACGCAGGAGCUUCAGGUUUUCCAGCCGGAACACUCAUUGCGGAGUUCAGCGCGGAGUCGAGCGAGAAGAAAGCGGGUCAGAGUUUAUUUGCUGACUUUUUUCAGGUGCAUUGAUCGAUGUGUUGUGUCCGUACGCAUCGCACAGUACUCCAGCUGGAACUCCGCCACCGUGGAGCUCACGUCGGACGGAGAAGACGGCGUUGUUGGCGGGGUCUCGGGGUGGAUUGUACGGUCGCCACACGCACACGAGCCGCCUGCACAACAGACCUGCCUCGGAAAACACGGCGCCAGUGACGGUCUACAACCCAGAGGAGGCAAACGGACAGUUUACUGAGCUGUAGUUUUUAAACCGCCUUUACCCAAGUGUGGGCAGAUCCUCACUUUGUAUGUAGUUGUUGUUUGUGUGUUGUUAAUAAAGCUCUUUCUUUGCAUAAACAUGUGUCAAAUGUUCAUUUUCUCUAUAAAUUCAUUGAUGUCCUGGUUGGUAUCCAAAUAAUAGUGUAGUAGCCUAGAUAGGAUAACCAUGAAAUGAAUAUACAGCAUAAUAUGAAUAUAUAAAUAAAAUGAGGAGGGUGACCAAUAGCGACAGAUCUGCCAACCAAUCACGAGUGAUUGAAAGUUGUGGUUUCAUCCAAUCAUGAAAAAGGAAACUCAAGCC
ensembl:lncRNA